rnacentral:rRNA from 1 species
CAUUUUUUUUUAAUUAAAUAAAAGAUAAAGUCUGCCCACUGAUAAUAUUAAAGGGCCGCAGUAUCUUGACUGUGCAAAGGUAGCAUAAUCAUUAGCCCCUUAAUUAGGGGAUUGAAUGAAUGGCUUAACGAUUUAAUUUUUUAUUGUCCACACAAUAAAAUUUAAUUUUUUGGUGAAAAUUCCUUAUUGAUCUUUAAGGACGAUAAGACCCUAUAGAUCUUUAUUUUAGGGUUGUAAUUCAGUUUAGUUGAUAUAAGUACUUAUGGUUAUAUUUUUUUACUGGGGCAGUAGAAGAAAUAUUAUAUUUUCUUUGUAGUUUUUCCUGAGAGUGUUUUUGAAACUAUUAUUUUAAAUUUGAAAGUUACCUUAGGGAUAACAGCGUAAUAGGUUUAGUGAGUUCAUAUUAAUAAACUUUCUUGCGACCUCGAUGUUGAAUUAGGAUUAUGAUUUAGGGCAGUUUCUAUUCUUUUUAGUCUGUUCGACUAUUAAUUUCCUACAUGAUUUGA